rnacentral:lncRNA from 1 species
GCUAAUUAAUAUUUUUAAUAAUACUUCUAUAUGGAUAGAUUUUUAGUUAAUUAGGCUAGUUUUAAGCAAAACUAGUUGUAAAGACCCAAGUUUCAAGCUCAUAAUUUCUAGGCUCGUACCCCUAACCUAAUCCCUACCCCUAUAUAAUAGUAUCUAAUGCUAAAAUAAACCUACGCCUAAAUCCCCAUCUGACCACAAAUGAGCAUCAGCGAAAAUAAUACAAAGAAAAGGCUAAGGAGGCAGCGCCGUCUACUCUGGAAAAAGCUAAAAAAAACGGCUGAACCUUUGAUUCUCGAACCUAACGCCUCUGACCCAUUUUCCAUAUUUGGUGCCUUUUCUUUUCUUCUUCUUUGAAUACACAACAUACACAUAGAUACAGUAGAGGUUGAAAAACAGAGAAAACAAAUAAAAUUCCAUGUAAAUCAAAACCAAAAAAACACAUAUAGAGAUCUUGUUUUUUCUUCUCGAUUUUGGACUUUGGCUCUUAAAGAAUGGAUUUCAGUCUGAGUUAGGGUGUUGUUCGAGCUUUGCUCUUGAUUCGUGGAUCCUGACUGCGAAUUCAGUUGCGGAUCGCUGACUCGCUGUUCCGAUUUUUGUUCGUGUUGCCGGAUCUGCUUGUAGCUUUUGGAUCUUUCACUAAUUUAAUGAAGCUCAUCUGAGGUUUAUUCUUCACCAUCCUUCCACUAUUUUUGUCUUUUGUGUGGUACAAUAGUAAAAUGUGCUAUUAAAUCCAUGAAGCUAUUUUUAGUUGUUGGGAUUAAUGUUAAGUUUAUUCUUUGGCUCCUUUAUUUCUCUUCCGCUUUUCUUAUACUCUAAUUAUGUUGAGCUAUGUUAUCCGAAUUGUCAUCUAGUGUUUAAUUUUCUUUUUAAAAUGCUUUUCAUGAGUAGUUUAAAUUCUUAUAAUUUUAAGUAAGAGACUUUGUUGUUAAAGUUUUUUUUUUUAAGUUUAGAUUUUCUUUAAUAAGCACCCCCUUCAUCUUUUUCUUAAAAGUGUCCAGAACAUAUGAAAGGUUUUUGUUCUCUUAUGUGAAAGAAUUUUUCAAUUAAUAAAGCUUCUAAAGUCUAAGAAUACAAGGUCCGUUGCAUCAAAGCAAAUGCAUACUUCCCCAUCUGUCUCGAGCUUUAUGUACUACUACUAGUAUUUUAUCAUUUACUUUUUGCGGGUCUGUAGAGUCAUAAUGGUCUCCUAUUGUUAGAAAGUGGAUUGAAAUAAAAAUCAAAACUUCAAUGUUUGUUACUUUAUUAACUUGAAGUGCGUAGUUGCUUUAGGCGCACUAUUUAAAAAUUAAUUUCCUUAAACUCGGGUGUGCAUUUUAUGUGACCCAAAUCCAAAUCUCAACAACGUUAGAUAAAAUAUGUCGAGGAUCGCGGGUGCAUGUAAGUGACGUGGUUCAAGACGUGUUUUAAUAACGUUGAAAUCUUCCUUAAAAAAUAAUUCAAUAAAAGCGGCUCAAAAGUUUAAAUUGAACCAUAGGCUAAAACCUGUACUAAAUCAGAUAAUAGUCCAAUUCUAACAGUUGAGCGACCGUGCUAGAACCACGAAACUCGGGAAUGCCUAACACCUUCUCCCGGGUUAACAGAAUUCCUUACCCGGAUUUCUGUGUUCGCGGACUGUAAUACAUGGUCAAUCUUUUCCUUGAUCGGGCUUUGAACCGGUGACUUGGGACACCAUAAAAUUAUCCCAAGUUGCGACUCUGAUUUUUUUAAAUAAAAUGAUCUCGUUUCGAUUGUCACUAAGUUGGAAAAAAACUCCUUUAUACCCCUUCCCGGAGGUGUAGUGAAAAGGAGGUGUGACAGCUGUGGCGACUCUUCUAGGGACCAAAACCCAGAACUUUGGUUCAGGGUUUAAGAAUUCGAGUUUAGAAUAGCUGUUAUGAUUGACUUUAUUUAUUAUCUGAUUUUUGUACAUGUUUGGGGUAGGUUUUAUAUUUUAUGAAAAUAAACCGAAAAAAUACCGAACCGUAUCGAAUAAAUUUACAAUGUGAAUAAUAUAUUUAUAUAUUAAGUUUAAAAUUAAUAAAGCAUUAAAUUUUUCUUGGGCCUUUGAAUUAUGAAACAGUUACAAGCCAACACGUAAUUAAACUUAAAAUCCUCCAAACCUAUUUUGAUACUCCUAUUGAAACUAAAUUAUUUCUAGCAUGUUUAUUAGCAAGACACAAGAUAUUGUAUUGAGUAUGAGUAGCAAUCUAUAAUGUAUCAAACAUGUUUCCUUUCGUAUGAUUUUCAUCUAUCUUCUUGAAUAUUUAAUCUUCUAUAAACUUUAUUCUUGAAUCCCAACUUAGCUAAUAUUUUUUCACUUGUGUGAUUUAUAUUAUUUUUGUAUUUGCGUAGUUUCUUUUAUGAUGAUGUAGAAUAGUUGAUUGAUCUAUACUCUAGUCAGCUUUCAUAUUUUCUUAAUUCAUCACCUUUUAAACUGUAAAAAUAUCUAGAGAGUUUUGUUAAGUCCUAAAAAAGUAUGUAUGUUAUUGCAUUCUACUUCCACUAGUGACUUUUACAUGACAUUAAAAAAAUUACCCAAAAUUUACCGAACCGUAUCGAUACUGAAGAGAAACCGACAUGAUUAGGACGGUUUCGAAAAGUCCAAUUUUGAUUAUACAUAAUAGAAUAACCGAAAAAAUAAUAUGGUAUAAAUUUUAUAAAAUAACCAGGCCGAACCAAUCCAUUGAUACCCCUGUUAACAGCCAUGCACACUCAGGUCUACAAGCGGGAGAACGACAUAAUAUUUUGGCCAAUGUCCGAAUAAAACUUGGACCUGAUUUUUGAGCAGCAUUCCUACUUCCCACGGUUUUGUUGGGUUUCACAAAACAAAUAUAUCAUUAAAGAUUCUGGCCAAGUCAAGACAUGAAAGAUUUUGGAGAGGCGAUUACUAAUGGUGCUAUGCAAUCUCACUUGGGCCCGAGGUGUAUCGGUCGAAAUCUGACCAAACAAGAAUCUUUGUAAAGAGGGACGGCUAGUCACUUAGGCAGAGUCGUAUUCUUACAACGCUAUAGCAACAAGUACAUCAGCCGUACUCAGAAGGCUUGUACGAUGAAUUGGAUAACACGACAUUUCGGAGGGUCAGUCUGUAAUUCAGUUAAAUAACUUUGACACUCUGGCUAAUGACCAUUGUAUAAAUGAGAAUACUCAGUAUAUAUACUAGGUAAGAGAACAAAGAAAAAGAGAGGGGGAAGAGAAAAACUCAUAGACACAUAUAGACUUUUCCAGAAAGGAAAAAGGAUCUUCAACUCUUUCUCCUCGAGAAGGGGGAAGGGGAAAGGAAGUGCAGAUCCUCAGUAUGCAUCAUUAAUUUCAUUUUGUCAAAUGUAUGGGGGUCAACCUUGUUCAAGAACGAUGACCCUUUUUAUCUAUGUGUUCUUCAUUAUCAUUUAGUGUUAAGAAAAUCACCACCCUUUUCUCACAUUAUAGGAUUCAAUUAUUGCUAUGGUUAAAUUUCAUGUUCAGCUAUGCUUGUUCAUUCAUAUCUUCUGCUCCAAAUCUAGGAUAAAUUAUCUUUGGCUAGGAUUUAUCUCAAAUCUUCCUAUUUAAUUAGUUCACGAAAAGAUUUAGCACUUUUUGGUCGAAUAAUUUGGCGCUGUCUGUGGGG